ACUACAUGAAGCUGGAAUCGCUAGUAAUCGCGAAUCAGAAUGUCGCGGUGAAUACGUUCCCGGGUCUUGUACACACCGCCCGUCACACCAUGGGAGUUGGGAAUGCCCGAAGCCGGUGACCUAACCGAAAGGGAGGAGCCGUCGAAGGCAGGCUUGAUAACUGGGGUGAAGUCGUAACAAGGUAAC
rnacentral:rRNA from 1 species